CUAGCAUAUCAAUAAGCGGAGGAAAAGAAACCAACAGGGAUUGCCUCAGUAACGGCGAGUGAAGCGGCAAGAGCUCAAAUUUGAAAGCUGGCCCCUUCGGGGUCCGCGUUGUAAUUUGCAGAGGAUGCUUCGGGUGCAGCCCCCGUCUAAGUGCCCUGGAACGGGCCGUCAUAGAGGGUGAGAAUCCCGUCUGGGACGGGGUGUCUGCGUCCGUGUGAAGCUCCUUCGACGAGUCGAGUUGUUUGGGAAUGCAGCUCUAAAUGGGUGGUAAAUUUCAUCUAAAGCUAAAUACUGGCCGGAGACCGAUAGCGCACAAGUAGAGUGAUCGAAAGAUGAAAAGCACUUUGAAAAGAGAGUUAAACAGCACGUGAAAUUGUUGAAAGGGAAGCGUUUGCGACCAGACUCGCCCGCGGGGUUCAGCCGGCAUUCGUGCCGGUGUACUUCCCCGUGGGCGGGCCAGCGUCGGUUUGGGCGGCCGGUCAAAGGCCCUCGGAAUGUAUCACCUCUCGGGGUGUCUUAUAGCCGAGGGUGCAAUGCGGCCUGCCUGGACCGAGGAACGCGCUUCGGCUCGGACGCUGGCGUAAUGGUCGUAAAUGACCCGUCUUGAAACACGGACCAAGGAGUCUAACAUCUACGCGAGUGUUCGGGUGUCAAACCCGUACGCGCAGUGAAAGCGAACGGAGGUGGGAGCCCCCUCGCGGGGCGCACCAUCGACCGAUCCUGAUGUCUUCGGAUGGAUUUGAGUACGAGCGUAGCUGUGGGGGACCCGAAAGAUGGUGAACUAUGCCUGAAUAGGGCGAAGCCAGAGGAAACUCUGGUGGAGGCUCGCAGCGGUUCUGACGUGCAAAUCGAUCGUCAAAUUUGGGUAUAGGGGCGAAAGACUAAUCGAACCAUCUAGUAGCUGGUUCCUGCCGAU
rnacentral:rRNA from 1 species